UAAAAUAUAAAUAAAGCAUAAAAUGGAUGCCUUGACUCGAAUAUCCGAAGAAGGACGUGCAAAUCUGCGAUAAGCCUAGAGGAGUUGAUAAGAUACGUUAUAACUCUAGGAUUUCCGAAUGGGGGAACCCAAUAUAGGUAAUCUAUAUAAUCCUAAAAAAUAGGAAGGACACAUUGAGAAUUGAAAUAUCUAAGUAACAAUGGAAAAGAAAUCAAAAGAGAUUCCCCUAGUAGUGACGAGCGAAGAGGGAGAAGCCCAAACCGUUAAAUAUGUAUAGGUAGCUUUUGUAUUAGCGGUGUUGAAGGAAUAAUAUACAGAGAGGCUAAUAAUCUGGAUAUUUACUAUAAUAAAUAAAAGAAAGAGCUGAGAAACUCUGCCAUAGAAGGUUAAAGCCCUGUAAAUUAAAUUUAAUUUUAGAAAUAUGUAUUAUAUCCUGAGUAGGUUCAGACACGAGAAAUCUGGAUUGAAACAGGGGAGACCACUCUCCAAGGCUAAAAAGUAUUCGAGAUCGAUAGCGAACAAGUACCAUGAGGGAAAGGUGAAAAGAACCCCGGAAGGGGAGUGAAAUAGAACCUGAAAUUUUAUGCUGAUAAAGAGAUGGAGCCUACGGGUGACAUCGUACUUUUUGUAGAACGGACCAACGAGUUAGUGUAUUUGGCAAGGUUAAGGUAGAAUAAGCCGAAGCCGAAGUGAAAGCGAGCCUGAAGAGGGCAUAAGUCAAGUAUACUAGACCCGAAACUGGGUGAGCUUCCCAUGAGCAGGCUGAAGUAUAGGUAAAACUGUAUGGAGGGCCGAACCAAUUGGAGCUGCAAGUCCUUUGGAUGACUUGUGGGAAGGAGUGAAAAGCUAAUCGAACCCAGAGAUAGCUGGUUCUCCGCGAAAUAGCUUUAGGGCUAGCCUUGGUGAACUAUUAUAUAGGGGUAGAGCUCUGAUUGGGCUAGCGGGCUUCACGGCUUAGUCAACCCAGACAAACUUCGAAUACUAUAUAAAUUACACCAGGAGUCAGACGGUGAGAGAUAAGUCCCAUCGUCAAAAGGGAAACAGCCCAGAUUACUAUCUAAGGUCCCUAAUUAACAACUAAGUGGCAAAGGAUGUGGGGUUGCUGAGACAACCAGGAGGUUGGCUUAGAAGCAGCCAUUCCUUAAAAGAGUGCGUAAUAGCUCACUGGUCAAGCGACCCUGCGCCGAAAAUACAACGGGGCUCAAGUUGUUAACCGAAGAUGUAAAAUCGUAAGAUUGGUAGCGGAGCGUUCUGUAAGCCGCAGAAGGUGAGGGGUAACCCGAGCUGGAGGUAUCAGAAGCGAAAAUGUUGGUAUGAGUAACGAGAGGGAAAUGAAAACAUUCCCCAUCGGAAACCCAAGGUUUCCUACGCAACGGCAGUCGUCGUAGGGUUAGUCGGUCCUAAGGUGAAGCUGAAAGGCAAAGCUGAUGGAUACCAGGUUAAUAUUCCUGGACUACUUAUAUAACUGAAGGGGGGACAUAUUUGGAUAUAAGAGAUACUUAAUUACUUGUAUUACGAAAGCGAAACUAGGGAUAUAGGCAAAUCCGUAUUCCUAUUAAAGUUGAGCUAAGUUAAGUUGAUGGAAACCAUUAUUGGUGGAAAGAUUCUGCUCUUACUAUAUUCAGGUAUCGAGAAAAGCCUCUAAGGGUUAAUUGUAUAAGUAACCGUACCGCAAUCAAACACAUGUGGGUUGGUGGAGAACACCAAGAUGAACGAGAAAACUAUGCUUAAGGAACUCGGCAAAACAGCGGUCGUAACUUCGGGAUAAGACCUGCCUAGAGUGUAAUUUACAAACUAGGCCGCAGCGAAAGAACUCAGGCGACUGUUUACCAAAAACACAGCUCUCUGCAAACUCGUAAGAGGAAGUAUAGGGGGUGAUGCCUGCCCAGUGUCAGAAGGUUACAUGGAUGUGUGAGAGCAUUGAAAUCAAGCCCUGAUGAACGGCGGCCGUAACUAUAACGGUCCUAAGGUAGCGAAAUUCCUUGUCGGGU
rnacentral:rRNA from 1 species